UCCUUUAUAAAACUUGCAUUGGUCAUGGUGU
rnacentral:piRNA from 1 species